rnacentral:rRNA from 1 species
ACACCGGCAGCCCAAGUGGUGGCCAUUUUUAUUGGGCCUAAAGCGUUCGUAGCCGGCCUGAUAAGUCUCUGGUGAAAUCCCGCAGCUUAACUGUGGGAAUUGCUGGAGAUACUAUCAGGCUUGAGGUCGGGAGAGGUUAGAGGUACUCCCAGGGUAGGGGUGAAAUCCUAUAAUCCUGGGAGGACCACCUGUGGCGAAGGCGGCUAACUGGAACGAACCUGGCGGGGAGUAACGAAAGCCAGGGGCGCGAACCGGAUUAGAUACCCGGGUGGUCCUGGCCGUAAACGAUGUGGACUUGGUGUUGGGAUGGCCUCGAGCUGCCCCAGUGCCGAAGGGAAGCUGUUAAGUCCUCCGCCUGGGAAGUACGGUCGCAAGACUGAAACUUAAAUGAAUUGACGGGG